rnacentral:rRNA from 1 species
GGGACACGUGGUAUCCUGUCUGAAUAUGGGGGGACCAUCCUCCAAGGCUAAAUACUCCUGACUGACCGAUAGUGAACCAGUACCGUGAGGGAAAGGCGAAAAGAACCCCGGCGAGGGGAGUGAAAAAGAACCUGAAACCGUGUACGUACAAGCAGUGGGAGCACGCUUAGGCGUGUGACUGCGUACCUUUUGUAUAAUGGGUCAGCGACUUAUAUUCUGUAGCAAGGUUAACCGAAUAGGGGAGCCGAAGGGAAACCGAGUCUUAACUGGGCGUUAAGUUGCAGGGUAUAGACCCGAAACCCGGUGAUCUAGCCAUGGGCAGGUUGAAGGUUGGGUAACACUAACUGGAGGACCGAACCGACUAAUGUUGAAAAAUUAGCGGAUGACUUGUGGCUGGGGGUGAAAGGCCAAUCAAACCGGGAGAUAGCUGGUUCUCCCCGAAAGCUAUUUAGGUAGCGCCUCGUGAAUUCAUCUCCGGGGGUAGAGCACUGUUUCGGCAAGGGGGUCAUCCCGACUUACCAACCCGAUGCAAACUGCGAAUACCGGAGAAUGUUAUCACGGGAGACACACGGCGGGUGCUAACGUCCGUCGUGAAGAGGGAAACAACCCAGACCGCCAGCUAAGGUCCCAAAGUCAUGGUUAAGUGGGAAACGAUGUGGGAAG